AGUCUACUCGUCUUGAGGAGCUUAACCAGAUAGCGUCGCCGUGAGCUCCGGGAAACUUGAGCCGAGUCUUCACGACUUAAACCUGUUGAGUUGAUUUUUGGGGUUCUUCGCCUCCUCGUUGGGUGUCUAGUCAAGCCGAGCUAAUUCGCAUCUUUUUCCAAGCAAACAUCGAAGAGUUGGUCUCUCUGUGAGAGGAGGGAAGAGGAAGACAUAUCUAUGAGGCAGCAGCCAGCAGCCACAGCCAGGCAACAUGAUGCCUCUUUCUGGCUCACUUGACCACACCUGGGAAGGACAGGGCCUGCAGCCCUGGUGUAUAAUGCUGAUGAUUAACUAAAUAGAGGCUGCAGCAGUCUGUGAGGGCAGGGCGGCUUAGCUUUCUCAUUUCAUGGGCCCUGACUGACUGACCGGGAAGACGCUGAAGUGUUCGCAGGCGCUGGCUGCUAAAAAUUCAAGAUCUUUUCCUUUUUACCCCCCACCCCCCUUUACUCACUUUGUUUUGUUGCAUUCUUUCCUUUUGGGUUCCUUUUCACGAUGGUAAGGUUACAGGUACAUUCUCCACCUCUCUUCACUGCCUAUUCUUUUCCCUCCCUUCUGCUCUCUCUCUCUCUCUCUCUCUACCUUUCUCAUUCACUCACACUCUUCCAUUUAGCUCAUUUGCAGGAUGACGGGAAACCUAUUGUUUCCCUCUGAACACAGGAUUGUCUUGAUUCUAGUUUUGUUUCAGGUUUAGAGAAAAAAAUAGCAAAGAAAUAGUUAACAUUAAUAGAUAUCAAUAUUAGUGUAACUAUUGCUGACUUACUGUACCAAGUCUCAAUAAAAUUAGAACGAGUUAUAGCAGUUAUUUGACAAUGCACGAUGCAAAUAGUUUGUUGCCACUGUGAUUGUUGAGUUAUUGUACAUACUUGAGUGGCUGAUCAGUCAUGUGUCACUAUUUUAAGUGGCAAUGUAAAUAGAAUGACUAACUAAGGAAUACUGGUAUAUAUUAUAUAUGAGUCUUUAUCUUACAUAAAUAUAAAUAAUUAGCAUGCAGCAUUGUGCCACUUCUAAUGAGUGUGUUGCUUUCACACUGUGUACCUGUGAAUAGCCCACGUUUUUCAGUAAACAAAAGCUGUCUCAAUGACCUUCUGCACACACUGCAUAGGCAGAGGCUAGGUCAGUCAAGCAUUCCUCCAGGCUUUCAACACACUACAAACACAAAGAAAGGAGGUACAGGAAAAGGGAAUGCAUUCAUUUCCCCUUCGUUUUCAACAUUUCAUCAAAUUACUGUUGAAAUUAAUAUGACAUGACAUACGUUGUGCUACCUGUGCUACCAUCUUCAGGGACAUGAAAUGUGAAUACGGAACAACAACCCCAAGGCCUUGUCAUUUUCAGAAUGAGGGGAAAAGGCAGCCUUACCGUUUCAUAGAACCAGACCAGUCAGAACAGGUUUGGCCAAUAAUUAACAUCCACUGUGGCCCACUCUCCUGUGGCAGAACCUAACCUACAGUCCCUACUAGAACAAAGUCUGCCGUACAACAAGUUGUAUUUUUUUGUUUCGAGGCGACUUUCAAAUACGUUGUUUCCCCCCACUUCAUCUCUUGUUUAAGACCUGGGGGUUAGGUGAUAAAUUGAACUUGCUAUUGUUAGUUUGAGUUUGAGAUAGUAGAGUCCACCCAUAGUAGAGUCCACCCAAGGCCACAAUUUGUUGAGUUAACUGAAGUGGAGUUCUAAUGGAUAUUGAUGAUGAGUUGCAUGUGUGCCUGGGGAGGGGGUAUACUUGAUUUUAUAUUAUUAUAGUUUCUCCUUUCUGUAGAAAAUACAGAUGUAGCUUCAGUGAUGUGAAAGACAGGCCUUCUAAUGAUAAUUUGCAUUACCAGUCAGGGUUGCCUACUGUUUAGUACACCUCUUUCUUUUCAUAGUGGAAUGUUCCUGAAGUCUCAGUUAUGCACAUAGGUGGGGCUUAUCCCCACACAAACCUACCCAAAGCAAGGUUAGCCUUUUAUCAAGUUUUUGUCAGUGAAAACCAGGAGAUAACACAACACAUUAAACAAAAUGAACCUGUAUUGUAAAAUGCUUAGACGAAAAUAUUAUUACUGCGAUCCAUACACUUAUUGUGAUCUGUAAAAUAAUCACUUUUAUGACCCAUUGUUUGUCUCCUAUGCAUGUAUUGGAUGGUCAUCCCCAUCUUACAAGGCAGCAUUGGAUAUCAUCAAUCUCUCUAAUACUGCCUGGUAAUGAUGAUGCUAGCCAUCCGCUAACUACAGUGAUGUACCACACAACUUACAACGUUAGCUAGCUACCAUAGCUUGGCGGCCAUUUUUUUCUCUCAAUGAAAUGCUCUGGUUUACGCUGAAAUGGCUUUCAGGAUCCAUCUUACCUGACAGUGCUGGAUUGUACAAAAAAGUUCUAACACUGUCUGGUAACGAUGUUUCCUGGGUGACCCACCUACCUCCAGAGAUACACCUCAGCUAAGGAUGUGCUUAAAGGGUCAGGUGUGACCACUUGAUGAAAGCACACCAUAGACAAUACCUGAUCAGAUUAUCUGUAGUGUUAGAACUUGACUCCAGUUUGAACUCUGUAUCUUUCUUCAAGGAUUUGAUGUCUGAUAUUGUCACUGAUAAGAAGACUUGGUUUAGGGUUGCAUCUAUCUGUAAGAGAUUGUCUUAAAUCUUCUUCUAUUGACACACCUUUAUUCCGCUAGCUAAAACUAUACAUCUGAAAGAAGCUCCAUUUUACCUCGUCGUAUAUUUGUAGAAAAGAUAGGCCUAUGAAGUGCUUAUUUUGUGAAUUGUAUUGGGAAAAUAUUUGGCAAUCCAAGUAAUUGAAAUUUCUCAGUGUUCCUCACUUAAGAAUCAACUCAAAGAAAUGGAGAAGAUUAGAGGCACGACUGGCAAUGGCCUUUCCCUGGGGAACAAGUAGAGGAGACCCAGCAUUUUUAUUCCACUUCCCUGUCCUGUUCUAGGGUGGCCCCACCCAACCUGUGUUAAAGAAUACAGGUCGGUUGACGGUUCAACCGGUCGCACCGCCACUCAUUUUCGUAUCACCUCCCCUCUGUAGCGUGUGGCUUGUGUUGUGUCACCGUGAUUGGUCCAGCACCGCUUAUCUACAUGGCACAUCCUGAAACUGACACAAGCUCACCUGAGCACUUAUGAUAAAAAUAGACUCAGCAACAUCCUCCUUGACUCCUUUACCACUCCCCUUCAGCCUCACCUCUCUCUCAUCCCUUCAUAUGAAUGAUUACUCUUUUUUUUAUCACAGCUAAAUAUAUCCCACAGCUCUAUCUGUAGUGCCUUUUGUUGUUUUACAAGGCUUCAUUGGAGAACUUUUGUUCCAAUUAGAAUUUUAGAAUUCUGUUGAAUUUUUGUUCAUAAACAAAUGAUAAAUAGCCAUAGACUUAAAUGAGUUGAUCCUUUAUGGCAAACUACUACCCCGUUCCAUGUCGUCUUCCAGGAAGAAAAAUACAUCCCAAUUUAAUAGGUAAAGCCUUCAAACAGACAGCACAGACAUUGGCAAAUAAUAAAAGGAGCUGGCAGAGCCUAAAUGUUUGUUUAAGGAGGGAGAAUUACCUCGCAAAUAUUGAACCAUACCUUUAUUGGCUCACCUCCUGUUGUUUGCCUUUAUUUAUGACAUAGACACACGGAAUGGUUCAAUGUUUUUUCCCUUUUCAGCCCCUCUCCUUUCCAAACGUUUAAAAAGACAAUUUGAUGUUGUACUGAACCCAAAUGUGGCAUAUUUAUUUAAUUUGCGGUGAGAGGGCACCACAUUUUGAUGUGAACUUUCAACCAACAGGAUCUAGUUUGUCUUUAUUCAUGGCAAAUCAUUGUAAAUGUACUCCAUAUAACAUAGUCUUUGAGAAUAUGAAAACGAUAGAGCAGUAUCCCUGUCUCUGUGUGAGACAGACAAACAGACGAACAGACAGACAGACAUACUGUAUCUUUUCAGCCUGUCUCUUCCUGUAUCUCAUCCUGUCUCUUUCAGCUGUCUCCCUCUGCGUACAGUGGACGGUUGGUUCAGAGGGCGUCCUUCAGUCCUAGCUCCCUAGCCUGUUGAUUGGCGUCUUACCAGACAUGGUUAGAUCUAAAUAUCCCUGUCUAAUACUGUCUGGUAAUGCCGUCCAUUGAAUGGCGUUUACUUCUCUUUUUCCUCUCUCCUUCUUGUACAGAAGUUUGAGCAUGGCCGUCAGAAUUCUUGGUGUGUCUGACCUCUUAGGCUUCUUCUAUGUUAAUGGCUGUAUACAGUGUGUUUGUGUGUGUAUACGACCAGUACAUAGACACAUUGGUUGAAGUGACAGAUGGAUUGGGGUGUAUUCACUAUGGUCAUGAAGAUAAUGACAAUACAGGAACUAUGAACCUUGCACUGGAAGAUUGAUUCAGUUGUCAGUGCUCUUCCAUGUGCAAUGUGUCAGAGUUAAAUACUGUCUAUACUACAGCCAAGCGAUAGAUACACAUAUAUAUUUUCACCAACGUUAUGUAAUAUGACAUGACAAUAUCAAAUAAACUUGAAAUAAAACAAUA